GACGAACGCUGGCGGCGUGCUUAACACAUGCAAGUCGAGCGGAAAGGCCCUGCUCUUGUGGGUUGCUCGAGUGGCGAGCGGGGGAGUAACACGUGAGUAACAUGCACUUGACAUUGGGAUAACUUCAGGAAACUGGGGCUAAUACCGGAUAGGAGCUCCUGCUGCAUGGUGGGGGUUGGAAAGUGUCGGCGGUUGUGGCUGGUCUCGCAGCUUAUCAGCUUGUUGGGGGGGUAGUGGCUUACCAAGGCUGUGACGGGUAGCCGGCCUGGGAGGGUGACCGGCCACAUUGGUACUGCGGUACGCCCCAGACUGCUACGGUACGCAGUAGUGGGGAACAUUGCGCAGUGGGCGGAAGCCUGAUGCAGCAAUGCCGCGUGCGGAAUGACGUCCUUCGGGUGGUAAACCGCUUUCUCCUGAGCUGAAGCGUUAGUGACGGUAAUGGGUAAAGAAGCACCGGCUAACUACGUG
rnacentral:rRNA from 1 species